AUUCCAGCCAGCCAGAAAUCGAUAACUGAUGCACAUAGGUUGUUCAUGCUGAAAUUGAAAAAUGUAUCAAAUGGAUACGAACAUUGAAAAAAAAGUAAACAAUUUGGGAUGGAACGAGAA
ensembl:ncRNA K09A11.10 ncRNA